GUGGAUUAGAUACCCUGGUAGUCCAUGCCGUAAACGUUGGGCACUAGGUGUGGGGAGGAAUCAACCCUUUCCGCGCCGUAGCUAACGCAUUAAGUGCCCCGCCUGGGGAGUACGGCCGCAAGGCUAAAACUCAAAGGAAUUGACGGGGGCCCGCACAAGCGGCGGAGCAUGUUGCUUAAUUCGAGGCAACGCGAAGAACCUUACCUGGGUUUGACAUGUAGGGAAAAGCCGUAGAGAUACGGUGUCCUUCGGGGCCCUACACAGGUGGUGCAUGGUCGUCGCCAGCU
rnacentral:rRNA from 1 species